rnacentral:rRNA from 1 species
AUUGAACGCUGGCGGCAUGCCUUACACAUGCAAGUCGAACGGCAGCACGGGAGCUUGCUCCUGGUGGCGAGUGGCGAACGGGUGAGUAAUACAUCGGAACGUACCCAGUAGUGGGGGAUAACGCACCGAAAGGUGCGCUAAUACCGCAUACGACCUAAGGGUGAGAGCGGGGGACCGUAAGGCUGCGCGCUAUUGGAGCGGCCGAGGUCUGAUUAGCUAGUUGGCGGGGUAAUAGCCCACCAAGGCGACGAUCAGUAGCUGGUCUGAGAGGACGAUCAGCCACACUGGGACUGAGACACGGCCCAGACUCCUACGGGAGGCAGCAGUGGGGAAUUUUGGACAAUGGGGGCAACCCUGAUCCAGCAAUGCCGCGUGUGCGAAGAAGGCCUUCGGGUUGUAAAGCACUUUUGUCAGGGAAGAAAUCUUUCAGGCUAAUACCCUUGGAAGGAUGACGGUACCUGAAGAAUAAGCACCGGCUAACUACGUGCCAGCCGCCGCGGUAA